AUUGAACGCUAGCGGGAUGCCUUACACAUGCAAGUCGAACGAGUGGCGAACGGGUGAGUAAUGUAUCGGAACGUGCCCCGUAGCGGGGGAUAACUACGCCAAACGUAGCUAAUACCGCAUACUAUUGGAGCGGCCGAUAUCGGAUUUGCUAGUUGGGGGGGUACCGGCUCACCAAGGCGACGAUCCGUAGCUGGUUUGAGAGGACGACCAGCCACACUGGGACUGCGACACGGCCCAGCCGCCUACUGGAGGCAGCAUUGGGGAAUUUUGGACAAUGGGGGAAACUCUGAUCCAGCCACCCCGCGUGUUCGAUGAAGGCCUUCGGGUUGUAAAGCACUUUUGGCAGGAAAGCGGUACCUGCAGAAUAAGCACCGGCUAACUACGUGCCAGCAGCCGCGGUAAUUC
rnacentral:rRNA from 1 species